GUAUCUUCAAGUCCAUUUCCAGUUAUUACUUAAGUUACUUUUUAAAACAAAGAUUUUCAUGCUGUUGUCACAACUUGUAUUUUUCAAUGUAUUCAGA